UCACACGAGGUAUUUAU
rnacentral:misc_RNA from 1 species